rnacentral:rRNA from 1 species
AACGAACGCUGGCGGCAGGCCUAACACAUGCAAGUCGAACGCCCCGCAAGGGGAGGUGGCAGACGGGUGAGUAACGCGUGGGAACGGUACCCUUCCGGUUCGGGAAUAACCCGGGGAAACGUCGGGCUAAUACCGGAUACGUCCGCAAGGAGAAAGAUUUAUCGCCGAAGGACCGGCCCGCGUCGGAUUAGCUAGUUGGUGGGGUAAUGGCCCACCAAGGCGACGAUCCGUAGCUGGUCUGAGAGGAUGAUCAGCCACACUGGGACUGAGACACGGCCCACGACUCCUACGGGAGGGCAGCAGUGGGGGAAGUAAUUUGGGACAAAUGGGGCGGAAAGACCUGACGCAGCGACGCCG